CAGCCGCCACGGUAAUACGAAGGGGGCUAGCGUUGCUCGGAAUUACUGGGCGUAAAGGGAGCGUAGGCGGACAUUUAAGUCAGGGGUGAAAUCCCAGAGCUCAACUCUGGAACUGCCUUUGAUACUGGGUGUCUUGAGUGUGAUAGAGGUAUGUGGAACUCCGAGUGUAGAGGUGAAAUUCGUAGAUAUUCGGAAGAACACCAGUGGCGAAGGCGACAUACUGGAUCAUUACUGACGCUGAGGCUCGAAAGCGUGGGGAGCAAACAGGAUUAGAUACCCCUGUAGUCCCUGUCUCUUAUAC
rnacentral:rRNA from 1 species